GACGAAGGAUGCAAGCGUUAUCCGGAUUCAUUGGGUUUAAAGGGAGCGUAGGCGGUCUUAUAAGUCAGUGGUGAAAUCUCCUCGCUUAACGAGGAAAUUGCCAUUGAUACUGUAGGACUUGAGUACAGUUGCCGUUGGCGGAAUAUGACAUGUAGUGGUGAAAUACAUAGAUAUCUGGAGGAACACCGGUGGCGAAGGCGGCAUUCUGGACUGUAACUGACACUGAUGAACGAAAGCCAGGGGAGCAAACGGG
rnacentral:rRNA from 1 species